GCCAGAACCGCCGCUAUCGCGUUAAUGUAGUACACGUAGAUUUCGGCGGCGACAAGUGGAAUGGCGGCAACAAACAAGGCCGCUCAGUGUCCAAGGGCUAUGAAGAGCCCGAUCUUUACGGCGAAGAUGAUGACGAGGAGGACCCGGACGCCGCC